rnacentral:lncRNA from 1 species
CCAGAUUAACAAACAAGCAGUCACCAUCCAACUACACAAAGAAGACCAAACAACAUUUUUACUCCUCAGAAUUCACAUUUUGAGGCUAACUAGAAAUCCAGCAGCAAUUUUAAUAUCUCUCAGACGGUUGAAAGACGAUAUUGUCAGACUUCAGCAAUAGCUGCUUGUCCUCUUCCAAACAUUAAUAUGCAUUCCUACAAUAUCAUUUUUCUUGAAUUUUCUUGCCAAGUACUCUUGAACAUGACCAAUUCGUUGAUAUGGUGAUGUGAUACUUGGAUCGAUAAUAGGUUUGACUUUGGACUACUCACAAAAUUGUCAAACUCCAAACCAUAUUGCAAGUAGUAAUCCUCUGAUGUAUCGCCGGGACCAACUAAAACGAACACAUCACAUCAUUACAUACUUUACUUGUCUGAAUUUAUACACAGUUGCGACUCUCAACCAAAACAUAAGCUCUGGAAUGACACCGUGAGUCAACUUAAGAGAUCCAUCAGGAUCCAAUUUAAAGAUAAGCAUUCGAGAAAUUCCCUAACACAGAUGAAGAAUAAAUCUUUUCAAAUUAGACAUCCUGAAUUCCAAAAAAAAGGAACAUAGAAGUCAAAAGAGUUUGAAUAUUUUAUGGUUCGUCCAAUUAUUCCUUUGUAAU